rfam:Brachypodium distachyon strain Bd21 chromosome 1, whole genome shotgun sequence.
UGCUGUCUGUGAUGAUAAACCCUUUCAGCAAACAUGCCAGUUCUGCUUCUGAGAAUUCAUGACUGAAACACCGGUUACAGAUCUGAGCCCUCG